rnacentral:snRNA from 1 species
GUGCUCACUUCCACAGAACAUACACUAUAAAACUGGAACGACGCAGAGAAGAUUAGCAUGGUCCCUGUGCAAGGAUGACACGCAAAUUCAUAAAGUAUUCCAUUAAAAA